AUGACUGACCGACAGGAGAAGAGCGGUUGCUCUGCGGUGGUGGGAGAAACGUCAAAAAUGGCAGGCGGCUUGGAUUUCAUUCAAAGGGUGUACACCGCCUUGGAUGGAGGCUGAUGCUGAAAACAUACGAGGCAUCCUCGAUCCAGUCCUCGUUCUCCAGAAUGGCCUCAAUGUGCGGGUUGGUGAUGACCACGUCGUCCAACUCCAGCUCAGACAACUCGCUCUGCGUCUCCAUGGCGCCAAUCAGGUCCACUAUGCCCACUUGGAAUCAAAGUGGUGAAGCAGGUGGUGCGGGUGGCAGUAACGGUGACGGCAAACCACCACCAGGGCGGCCAAG